rnacentral:rRNA from 1 species
UACGUAGGGGGCAAGCGUUGUCCGGAUUUAUUGGGCGUAAAGAGCUCGUAGGCGGCCUGGUGCGUCCGCUGUGAAAGCCCGGGGCUUAACCCCGGGUCGGCAGUGGAUACGGGCAGGCUAGAGGUAGGUAGGGGAGAAUGGAAUUCCCGGUGUAGCGGUGAAAUGCGCAGAUAUCGGGAGGAACACCGGUGGCGAAGGCGGUUCUCUGGGCCUUACCUGACGCUGAGGAGCGAAAGCGUGGGGAGCGAACAGG